AGGGAAUCUUCCACAAUGGGCGAAAGCCUGAUGGAGCAACGCCGCGUGAGUGAAGAAGGAUUUCGGUUCGUAAAACUCUGUUGUAAGGGAAGAACAAGUACAGUAGUAACUGGACGUACCUUGACGGUACCUUAUUAGAAAGCCACGGCUAACUACGUGCCAGCAGCCGCGGUAAUACGUAGGUGGCAAGCGUUGUCCGGAAUUAUUGGGGUAAAGCGCGCGCAGGUGGUUUCUUAAGUCUGAUGUGAAAGCCCACGGCUUAACCGUGGAGAGUCAUUGGAAACUGGGAGACUUGAGUGCAGAAGAGGAAAGUGGAAUUCCAAGUGUAGCGGUGAAAUGCGUAGAGAUCUGGAGGAAUACCGAUGGCGAAGGCAGCCAUCUGGCCUAAUACUGACGCUGAGGUACGAAAGCAUGGGGAGCAAACA
rnacentral:rRNA from 1 species